GGGCCGUCGAAAAUAGCCAAGCUCUGGCUCGGCUAUUUCCGUCGGGCCCAUAGAAAUGAAUGGGAGCAGUGGCCGGUCCUGCGCAGGGCGUUUCCAUUCACUUCUAUGGGGAGAACGCUUGGUGGUGACCAGACCGGAGUCCUCCGGACACCACUUUGCGGGGCUCCUUUCCU